UAGGGAAUCUUCCACAAUGGACGAAAGUCUGAUGGAGCAACGCCGCGUGGGUGAAGAAGGGUUCCGGCUCGUAAAGCUCUGUUGUUAAAGAAGAACACGUAUGAGAGUAACUGUUCAUACGUUGACGGUAUUUAACCAGAAAGUCACGGCUAACUACGUGCCAG
rnacentral:rRNA from 1 species